GGAGGGUGCAAGCGUUGUCCGGAUUUAUUGGGUUUAAAGGGUGCGUAGGUGGCCUUAUAAGUCAGUGGUGAAAGCCUGCAGCUUAACUGUAGGACUGCCAUUGAUACUGUGGGGCUUGAGUAUUGAUGAGGUAGGCGGAAUUGAUAGUGUAGCGGUGAAAUGCAUAGAUAUUAUCAAGAACACCGAUUGCGAAGGCAGCUUACUAAGGAAUAACUGACACUGAGGCACGAAAGCGUGGGGAUCAAACAGGAUUAGAUACCCUGGUAGUCCACGCCAUAAACGAUGAUUACUCGAUGUAUGCGAUAGACAGUAUGCGUCCAAGCGAAAGCGUUAAGUAAUCCACCUGGGGAGUACGACCGCAAGGUUG
rnacentral:rRNA from 1 species